CACAUCCUGAGUACUGGAGCUGGGC
rnacentral:piRNA from 1 species